CCCAUCAACUGGGAAACAAUUGGACAAAUUGCUAUAUGAUUGUAAUACAAUACUAUUGUGAUAUUAAUGAACAUAUUUAAAAAAAAAAAAAACCUGGAAAGACAAACAAGAACAUGAUGCUGAAUGAAGUGAGCAGAAUCAGAACACAAAACACAGUUACUACAGAGAUCAUAAGUUAGCUCUUUUGAGCAAUGAUCAAAGACAAUUCCAAAAUAUGCAGUUUGGAAAAUGCUAUCAAAAUCCAGAGAAAGAACUAUGGAUUCUGAAUGCAGAUGAAAAGAAGCUAUUUUCACUUUUUUUUGUUUGUUUGUUUUCCCUUAUGUUGUAUGUCUUCUUUCACAAUAUGACUUCCAUGGAAAUGUUUAACAUGAUUGAACACAUGUAAUCUAUUAGAUUGAUGUCAAGGAGGGAGAAAAAUUGGAACCCAAAAAUCUUAUUUUAAAAAAAAAGUAUUAAAAACUGUUUUUACACAUAAUUUUAAAAAUUUUUGCAAAAAAAAAAAAUUUAAACUAAAAAUAUGAAAAUGAAAACUUAAUUAUGUUGGGUAAUUCGCAUAACCAAGGUCAGGUAUUUCAGAUUCCUCACCCUAAUCCGCUUUUCUAAAGGAGACAUGAAUCUGAAUUGGCACCGAUUGCCAAACUGUUAGUGAAUUUACCCCUCAGAAGUCAGAAAAACACAGUAAAUUGUUUUAUUAGUUGUCAAUGUUAAAGAAUUGAUGAUGCAGAUUAAAGUUGGAUGUCACUAUGUACAUUCAGAGAGCUGGUUGUUGGAACAGUAUUACUAACACACUCCUGGGUAUUAUUUAGAUUAUGGUCAUUGCCAUAUGUUAAAUCCUUAUCUGCCUUGGUGGUUGUGCAUAAAUUCAUAAAUUCUUAAAGACAGGGACCAGCAUGUAUACUUAUUGUGUAUCUAAUUUAAUUUUAAUAUAUUUAACAUCUACUGGUCAUCCUGCCAUCUGGGGGAGGGGGUGGGGUGGGGGUAAGCGGUGAAAAAUUGGAACAAGAGGUUUGGCAAUUGUUAAUGCUGUAAAGUUACUCAUACAUAUAACCUGUAAAUAAAAGGAUAUUAAAAAAAAAAAAAAAAAAAAGACAGGGACCAGUAUUCUUGGUACAGAACCAGCCCAUUGCCAAGAAUGACUUUUUUGGGUAAUGAUGUAGUUUUUCUAUUGUUAAUUCUAAUCACUCCAAGAGUCAUGUGCAUGUUUUUAAAAAAAGGGAUCAUUUCAUAAUGUAGCUUGAGAUAUGCACUUGGAUUGGGGUAACACAUAUCUGAAGAAGGCAACUUUGCAUUAUCAAAUACAUUAAAAUUUCUGCAAUAUUUCCUUGCCCACUCUCUGUGGAGAAUCACAAAUCUGAAACUGCAUUAGGUUAGAGUGAUGAGGUUGCUUUCCGAUUCACUAAAUGCCCCAAGUUGUCAGCUCCAAGGUUCUUGCACUUACACUAGAAAAUGCUUUAAGCACUAAAAUCAUGGGAUUUCUAAAACUAAUAAGAUCAUCAAAUUUAUUUGAAACCAGGUCCUUGAACUUCAGGUCCAACACACUAUGCAAAAAACACCCCUUACCUCCAAUUGUCACCAACCUUCCCAGGGAAGGGAACCAGGGUCCUUCUUGAAAGCUUCUAGUUAUUUUUGUCAAGUUGAUAAAUGGCCCCGAGGUUGGUUUUCCCUUUCCAAGUCUCUCCUAGAAGACUUCUCAAAGCCAAGCAUUUGACCCCAAUUCAUUCCUCUUAAAUUCAGGGCACAUAAAUGCACCAUCUGACAAUAAAUUUAUAUUAUUCUUAGGAUUGUAUUACUUCUCAUUUGGUGGUGAAUCAUCUCCCCUCUCUUCCCAUCUGUUUCCUGGAUUGGAAUUCUAUCCCCUCUGGUGCAGUGAUUAAUACAUUCUCUAUCUAGGUGGUUAAGAAAAUAACACAUAUCCUGUACUGUUUACCUUGGAAAAGAAAUUAAGACCACUGUACAUUGCCAAUAAAAAUUUCUGUAAUGGAUGCUCAACUUGAUGUUUGUUGUCUCCUAAGAUGGAGGAAGCCAUUGUACAAACCAAAACCUAUUUCAUACCCAGCUUCUAAAUGCAUUUGGUUAUUUUUAAAUACAAUUUCUUCCAGCUUUUUUUUCCCCUAGGAAAGUUGCCCAUUAGAGUUAGAACUCAAGACUACUGGCCCAGUCAUAAACUGCUUAAUAAAAGGCCCAACUCAGAAUCAACCCUGAUAUUUUCAUUCCAUUAACAACCAGCAUGCUGGCAACUGAUUUCCUGCAUUUGCUCAACACUUUGAAAUGGUUUUUACAUGACAGUAUACUCCUUUGCAGACUACUAUUGAUAUCCUCAAGUAGGCAGUGUUCCCAUUAACCAUCUUCCAAAGAAAAAUCACUGGAGAAAGGCCAAGACUUUUAAAACCCUUCCCCUACUUUAUUUUUGUCUGCCUUUGAGAACCAUAUUUUAAUACCUGGUUAAUAUGGCCAGAUGUCAACUGUACUCAAAUAUUUGUAAAUAUAUGCCAAGCCACAUACUUGGAAUUCUCCAACCUCCAAGUUAAACCAAUUUCAGCUUUUUGGUCCCAAGCCUCAAAUUGU
rnacentral:lncRNA from 1 species